GACGAACGCUGGCGGCGUGCCUAAUACAUGCAAGUUGAACGCUGAAGAGAGGGGCUUGCUCUUCUUGGAUGAGUUGCGAACGGGUGAGUAACGCGUAGGUAACCUGCCUUGUAGCGGGGGAUAACUAUUGGAAACGAUAGCUAAUACCGCAUAACAAUGGAUGACACAUGUCAUUUAUUUGAAAGGGGCAAUUGCUCCACUACAAGAUGGACCUGCGUUGUAUUAGCUAGUAGGUGAGGUAAUGGCUCACCUAGGCGACGAUACAUAGCCGACCUGAGAGGGUGAUCGGCCACACUGGGACUGAGACACGGCCCAGACUCCUACGGGAGGCAGCAGUAGGGAAUCUUCGGCAAUGGGGGCAACCCUGACCGAGCAACGCCGCGUGAGUGAAGAAGGUUGUCGGAUCGUAAAGCUCUGUUGUAAGUCAAGAACGGGUGUGAGAGUGGAAAGUUCACACUGUGACGGUAGCUUACCAGAAAGGGACGGCUAACUACGUG
rnacentral:rRNA from 1 species